rnacentral:rRNA from 1 species
UACGGAGGGUGCAAGCGUUAUCCGGAUUCACUGGGUUUAAAGGGUGCGUAGGUGGGUUGGUAAGUCAGUGGUGAAAUCUCCGAGCUUAACUUGGAAACUGCCAUUGAUACUAUCAGUCUUGAAUACCGUGGAGAUGAGCGGAAUAUGUCAUGUAGCGGUGAAAUGCUUAGAUAUGACAUAGAACACCAAUUGCGAAGGCAGCUCGCUACACGAAUAUUGACUCUGAGGCACGAAAGCGUGGGGAUCAAACAGG